UGUAUGGUAAUUAUGACUAGGUGGGUAGUUGGAUGGCAAUAAGUGCAUGGUGGGUGGUGUUAGCUGACAGGUUACUAUCUGACUGGGUGCAAAGGGAAAUAUGACUGUUUCGGAGUUUGUGGCUGGUUGGGUGGCUGAAUAGCAAUGCAUAUGUAGGAGCAUAUAUGUGUGUUAGUGACUGCAUCUGAAUGAUGCAUGCAUUUGUGUAGAGUGCUAGUUUGUGAAUUUAGUGCUGUGUUUUUAUAGCGUGCCAGUGUUUAUGCAGGAGCAUAUUUGUGUUCAUGAAUAGUUUCUUGGUGUGCCUGUGCACUGUGUUUCCAAUUCCCAUUUGCCCCUCUUUAUCUUUCCAUCAAUUUCUCCCUCACUUUUUUUCCACCUUCCCCAAGUUAUGCCUCCUUUUCUCCAAUUGUUCCCAUCUUCUCGUUCCUUCUCUGUCCUCACUUGUUCCCACUGCCCUC